AUAAGGGCUCGAGCCAAGAUUUAAGUCGAAAUUAAAUACGAUAUUUCGUUUCUUAUUCUAU
rnacentral:tRNA from 1 species